GAAUUUAAACCUCUUCCAGAGUAUCAAUUGGAGGGCAAGUCUGGUGCCAGCAGCCGCGGUAAUUCCAGCUCCAAUAGCGUAUAUUAAAAUUGUUGCAGUUAAAAAGCUCGUAGUUGAAUUUCUGCUGCAUUGCAUUUUCUCCUAUACGAGUUUUUGCAUUGUGGCUUAUUUCGGUUAUAAAAUUAAUUUUAUUUCCGGAUGUUUACUUUGAGAAAAUUAGAGUGCUCAAAGCAGGCUUUUGCCUUGAAUAGUUUAGCAUGGAAUAAUAAAGUAGGACUUUGGUUCUAUUUUGUUGGUUUUAGGUACCAAAGUAAUGGUUAAUAGGAACAGUUGGGGGCAUUCGUAUUUAACUGUCAGAGGUGAAAUUCUUAGAUUUGUUAAAGACGAACUACUGCGAAAGCAUUUGCCAAGGAUGUUUUCAUUAAUCAAGAACGAAAGUUAGGGGAUCGAAGACGAUCAGAUACCGU
rnacentral:rRNA from 2 species